rnacentral:rRNA from 1 species
UACAGAGGGUGCAAGCGUUAAUCGGAAUUACUGGGCGUAAAGCGCGCGUAGGCGGCUUGACAAGUCGGGUGUGAAAUCCCCGGGCUUAACCUGGGAGCUGCAUUCGAAACUGUCUUGCUAGAGUAUGGGAGAGGGAGGUGGAAUUUCAGGUGUAGCGGUGAAAUGCGUAGAUAUCUGAAGGAACAUCAGUGGCGAAAGCGACCUCCUGGACCAAUACUGACGCUCAGGUGCGAAAGCGUGGGGAGCAAACAGG